rnacentral:lncRNA from 1 species
GACACAUUUGCCUUUUUCUUAAUAUCUAGAAUUAGAGAAUGACUUUUCAUUGGGAAAGUCAAAGCUUUUGUUUUUUCUCUGGGAUUCUGUUUUUGUUUUUAACUAUGUGAAAUGGCAAAGUGAAACUCGGGGAUUAGGUUUCAGCUUCCAGUGGUGUGAUGCAAGGCUGUGAAUUAGGAAGAAACAGACCUGUUUUUUGAGUAUUGCUGACCAAGGUCUUUAUCUCGGCCAUGAAGUUCAGAAAGAAAUGCCAUCACACAAAAGGCAUAAUAGAGAGAAGCUAGAAGGGGGCUAGUUAUUUUUGAAAAGGGGAGGCAUGUUACUUGAUCUUUUCAGUGUUUCAUUAGCAGAUUUUUUGCCCCUUUGUUCUGACUUAAAGUGCAAGGCCUUUUCUGAAGUAUUCUUGAUGGGAGUUUUGCUCCUGGGGCUCCCAUCUGUACACCUGUUACAGACCAGAAGAGGGCCUUCUCUCUUCUCGAGCUGCUUCAUGUGCUCAAAACACACAUGCAGUAGUAAAAUGUGUGGGUUUUCUGUGCUUUUUAAAGAUCUUUUAAUAAGACUUUUCUAAAUAAAUUUCUCAAAAUUAAAAGUGAGAGUGUCCUCUCCCUGUUUUCUCCCCCAUGCUCAGUCCUUCUGAAGUCAGAAGACUGUAUACAUAGAUGUUCAGAA